GGUUAAGCGACUAAGCGUACACGGUGGAUGCCCUGGCAGUCAGAGGCGAUGAAGGGCGUGCUAAUCUGCGAUAAGCGCCGGUAAGGUGAUAUGAACCGUUAUAACCGGCGAUACCCGAAUGGGGAAACCCAGUGUGACUCGUCACACUAUCAUUAACUGAAUCCAUAGGUUAAUGAGGCGAACCGGGGGAACUGAAACAUCUAAGUACCCCGAGGAAAAGAAAUCAACCGAGAUUCCCCCAGUAGCGGCGAGCGAACGGGGAGGAGCCCAGAGCCUGAAUCAGCAUGUGUGUUAGUGGAAGCGUCUGGAAAGGCGCGCGAUACAGGGUGACAGCCCCGUACACAAAAGCGCAUGUGCUGUGAGCUCGAUGAGUAGGGCGGGACACGUGGUAUCCUGUCUGAAUAUGGGGGGACCAUCCUCCAAGGCUAAAUACUCCUGACUGACCGAUAGUGAACCAGUACCGUGAGGGAAAGGCGAAAAAGAACCCCGGCGAGGGGAGUGAAAAAGAACCUGAAACCGUGUACGUACAAGCAGUGGGAGCACAGGUUUACCUGUGUGACUGCGUACCUUUUGUAUAAUGGGUCAGCGACUUAUAUUCUGUAGCAAGGUUAACCGAAUAGGGGAGCCGGAGGGAAACCGAGUCUUAAUUGGGCGUUAAGUUGCAGGGUAUAGACCCGAAACCCGGUGAUCUAGCCAUGGGCAGGUUGAAGGUUGGGUAACACUAACUGGAGGACCGAACCGACUAAUGUUGAAAAAAUUAGCGGAUGACCUGUGGCUGGGGGUGAAAGGCCAAUCAAACCGGGAGAUAGCUGGUUCUCCCCGAAAGCUAUUUAGGUAGCGCCUCGUGAAUUCAUCUCCGGGGGUAGAGCACUGUUUCGGCUAGGGGGCCAUCCCGGCUUACCAACCCGAUGCAAACUGCGAAUACCGGAGAAUGUUAUCACGGGAGACACACGGCGGGUGCUAACGUCCGUCGUGAAGAGGGAAACAACCCAGACCGCCAGCUAAGGUCCCAAAGUCAUGGUUAAGUGGGAAACGAUGUGGGAAGGCCCAGACAGCCAGGAUGUUGGCUUAGAAGCAGCCAUCAUUUAAAGAAAGCGUAAUAGCUCACUGGUCGAGUCGGCCUGCGCGGAAGAUGUAACGGGGCUAAACCAUGCACCGAAGCUGCGGCAGCGAACGUAUCACUUAAAGCGAUUCAGCGGGUUACGAUUGACGGAGCGAAGCGACGUCAAAGCGUAUACAAAGUCGAGUCGGUUUAAGGAUACGUUCGUUGGGUAGGGGAGCGUUCUGUAAGCCUGUGAAGGUGGCCUGUGAGGGUUGCUGGAGGUAUCAGAAGUGCGAAUGCUGACAUAAGUAACGAUAAAGCGGGUGAAAAGCCCGCUCGCCGGAAAGACCAAGGGUUCCUGUCCAACGUUAAUCGGGGCAGGGGUGAGUCGACCCCUAAGGCGAGGCCGAAAGGCGUAGUCGAUGGGAAACAGGUUAAUAUUCCUGUACUUGGUGUUACUGCGAAGGGGGACGGAGAAGGCUAUGUUGGCCGGGCGACGGUUGUCCCGGUUUAAGCGUGUAGGUGUGUGUUCCAGGUAAAUCCGGUUCACUUUAACACUGAGGCGUGAUGACGAGGCACUACGGUGCUGAAGCAACAAAUGCCCUGCUUCCAGGAAAAGCCUCUAAGCAUCAGGUAACAUCAAAUCGUACCCCAAACCGACACAGGUGGUCAGGUAGAGAAUACCAAGGCGCUUGAGAGAACUCGGGUGAAGGAACUAGGCAAAAUGGUGCCGUAACUUCGGGAGAAGGCACGCUGACACGUAGGUGAAGUGAUUUACUCAUGGAGCUGAAGUCAGUCGAAGAUACCAGCUGGCUGCAACUGUUUAUUAAAAACACAGCACUGUGCAAACACGAAAGUGGACGUAUACGGUGUGACGCCUGCCCGGUGCCGGAAGGUUAAUUGAUGGGGUCAGCGCAAGCGAAGCUCCUGAUCGAAGCCCCGGUAAACGGCGGCCGUAACUAUAACGGUCCUAAGGUAGCGAAAUUCCUUGUCGGGUAAGUUCCGACCUGCACGAAUGGCGUAAUGAUGGCCAGGCUGUCUCCACCCGAGACUCAGUGAAAUUGAACUCGCUGUGAAGAUGCAGUGUACCCGCGGCAAGACGGAAAGACCCCGUGAACCUUUACUAUAGCUUGACACUGAACAUUGAGCCUUGAUGUGUAGGAUAGGUGGGAGGCUUUGAAGCGUGGACGCCAGUCUGCGUGGAGCCGACCUUGAAAUACCACCCUUUAAUGUUUGAUGUUCUAACGUGGACCCGUAAUCCGGGUUGCGGACAGUGUCUGGUGGGUAGUUUGACUGGGGCGGUCUCCUCCUAAAGAGUAACGGAGGAGCACGAAGGUUGGCUAAUCCUGGUCGGACAUCAGGAGGUUAGUGCAAUGGCAUAAGCCAGCUUGACUGCGAGCGUGACGGCGCGAGCAGGUGCGAAAGCAGGUCAUAGUGAUCCGGUGGUUCUGAAUGGAAGGGCCAUCGCUCAACGGAUAAAAGGUACUCCGGGGAUAACAGGCUGAUACCGCCCAAGAGUUCAUAUCGACGGCGGUGUUUGGCACCUCGAUGUCGGCUCAUCACAUCCUGGGGCUGAAGUAGGUCCCAAGGGUAUGGCUGUUCGCCAUUUAAAGUGGUACGCGAGCUGGGUUUAGAACGUCGUGAGACAGUUCGGUCCCUAUCUGCCGUGGGCGCUGGAGAACUGAGGGGGGCUGCUCCUAGUACGAGAGGACCGGAGUGGACGCAUCACUGGUGUUCGGGUUGUCAUGCCAAUGGCACUGCCCGGUAGCUAAAUGCGGAAGAGAUAAGUGCUGAAAGCAUCUAAGCACGAAACUUGCCCCGAGAUGAGUUCUCCCUGAGACUUAGAGUCUCCUGAAGGAACGUUGAAGACGACGACGUUGAUAGGCCGGGUGUGUAAGCGCAGCGAUGCGUUGAGCUAACCGGUACUAAUGAACCGUGAGGCUUAACCUU
rnacentral:rRNA from 1 species